GAGCUCAAAUUUGAAAUCUGGCGUCUUUCAGGCGUCCGAGUUGUAAUCUAUAGAGGCGUUUUCCGCGCCGGACCGCGUCCAAGUCUCUUGGAAUAGAGUAUCAAAGAGGGUGACAAUCCCGUACUUGACGCGACAACCGGUGCUCUGUGAUACGUUCUCAAUGAGUCGAGUUGUUUGGGAAUGCAGCUCUAAAUGGGUGGUAAAUUCCAUCUAAGGCUAAAUAUUGGCGAGAGACCGAUAGCGAACAAGUACCGUGAGGGAAAGAUGAAAAGCACUUUGGAAAGAGAGUUAAACAGCACGUGAAAUUGUUAAAAGGGAAACGAUUGAAGUCAGUCGUGUGGGAAGUAUUCAGCCGUCUCUGGCGGUGUAUUUGCUUCUCACGGGUCAACAUCAGUUUGAUCCGGUAGAAAAAGGCGGGAAGAAGGUGGCACCCUCGGGUGUGUUAUAGCUUCCUGUCAUAUGUGCCGGACCAGACUGAGGAACGCAGCUUGCAGCAAUGCCGGGGUUCGCCCACGUACAAGCUUAGGAUGUUGACAUAAUGGCUUUAAACGACCCGUCUUGA
rnacentral:rRNA from 1 species